rnacentral:rRNA from 1 species
CGAGGGGCAGCGGGGGAGUGGCAACACUUCCGCCGGCGACCGGCGCACGGGUGAGUAACACGUAUGAAACCUGCCCGCAGCAGGGGGAUAAGCGGAAGAAAUUCCGUCUAAUACCGCGUAACAACCGACGGGGGCAUCCCUGUUGGUUCAAAGGAGCGAUCCGGCUGCGGAUGGUCAUGCGGCGCAUUAGCUAGUUGGCGGGGCAACGGCCCACCAAGGCGACGAUGCGUAGGGGUUCUGAGAGGAAGGUCCCCCACACUGGUACUGAGACACGGACCAGACUCCUACGGGAGGCAGCAGUGAGGAAUAUUGGUCAAUGGCCGAGAGGCUGAACCAGCCAAGUCGCGUGAGGGAUGACGGCCCUACGGGUUGUAAACCUCUUUUGCCGGGGAGCAAAGAGCGGGACGCGUCCCGCCUCGAGAGUACCCGGAGAAAAAGCAUCGGCUAACUCCGUGCCAGCAGCCGCGGUAAUACGGAGGAUGCGAGCGUUAUCCGGAUUUAUUGGGUUUAAAGGGUGCGCAGGCGGAAGCGCAAGUCAGCGGUAAAAUUGAGAGGCUCAACCUCUUCCCGCCGUUGAAACUGCGUUUCUUGAGUGGGCGAGAAGUACGCGGAAUGCGUGGUGUAGCGGUGAAAUGCAUA